rnacentral:lncRNA from 1 species
AAAAUAUUCUUCCCAUAUAAUACACUAUUAUAAAAACAAAUGUGUUGAAAAAAAAGAGAGAGAGAGGGAAAGAGAGCAGCGCACGAGCAGUGAUAUCACAACCGAUAUGCGAGAAUCGAAUUACUCUGCAGAAGCGUGCUACAGACUUAUGAAUACAUCAAGCAUUGAGAGCGAGCAUUCGCUUAAUGUACAUGUACAUACAUACGUUUAUUCGAAAUUAUCGCAUAUCAUCGUCACUUAUCCUUAUCGUUCACUCGCCGUUCAUACCUUUGACUUGCAACGUAUAUACAACACAGCGUGUUUUGUGUGUGUGUGUGUGUGUGUGUGUGUCGUGUUUCUCUCCUCUCAUCUCCAUCCUGCUUCAGUCUUUCGAGUCGAUUAGUUAAAUAUAGACUGCUGAACCUAACCUCACCACUUUCCCGCGCCGCCAGAACUCGCUCUCGCACAUCCGAAAUUUAAUCACUGAAUGCUCGAUUGUAUCGAAAGAUACAUCAUAUAAUACUUGAUUUUAGCGAUUAUAGAAGCAAAAAAGGAAGUAAGAAUACGGGAUAUCUCGCAAAGCAGAUAAAUAAGAUAAAUAAGAUAACCUGUUUCCUUCUCUAUAUAAAAAUUGAUCGCAAAGACAGAAAAGCAUGAAAUUGUGAAUAAAUGUAUAUCCGCACGAGACAUAUUUCGUCGACAACACCGUUGCACUUGGCUCACGUGGUUAAGCUAGUCGCUAAGUUAAGAUUCCAAGAGCGCACUUACGGAAUGGGACAAUUCGUGAAAUCGCGAAAGCCUGCUGAAGCGCGAUUAACGGGAAUAUCUCUGCAGACUUACUUCAUCGUGCAAACGCGUAACCUUGGCUUUCAGGAGAGAUUCCUCGUACGCACCGAACGCAUUCUCUUUACAUGCAUUCCACAAUUCCAUCUCACGGUCGGCGAUAACACCAUGCUCGCGUAACAGCCCGCAAAUCCCAACACACUGAUUCGACUCGACUCGACUUCAAGCGACUGUCAGAUCUUUUCGAAGACUGCGAUCACGAGAUUUGCGAGGUUAAAGAUCAACACGCAACGUUGACGCUUGAGGUUAGAAUCGACAGGUAGCAGGCAGCAGUGGCGGCGCGCGACACGCAUGCGCCUGACGCUGCGCGGUUAAGCGUGAUUAGAUUUAGGUUAGGUUGCGCGUGCUAACAUGAGCUACGUUCUGCUGUUACUGCUGGAAAUACUCAUUCUUUGGAUGAGUAAGAAGGACGUGUGGUGAAUAAAAACGGCGGAAUAAUUUUGCCACUCUUGAUGAAGCACAGUUUAACAACAUGUAACAUCUCGUACUUGACACGUAACAGAAAUGUGGAAUAAAAUAAACAAUUAGCGGAAUUAAUUUACUCAUCUGUUUCUACAAGCAUAAAUCAUAAUAGAGCUUAUUCAAUACUUUUCGUCUUUUUCUAGGUUUUAUACGACAAUAAAUCAUAAAAAAGUAGGAAGGCAGAUAAACGUGAGCAGAAUGUAUCGAGCCAUAUACAUUUAUGUGACAACUCUAGAUAUCCUGGAGAGACGUCGUUUUGAAGAUUUUGUAUUUUUGAUUUGGCGAGUUUUCAAAGGUGCUUCGAGGUCAUAAACUAGAUAGAUAAAAAUAUAGUUCGCUAUACGUAUUAAAAGUUUCAAUCUCUCCGAUGCAAUAAGAAUUAUAAUUAUCGCAUAGUUUAUGUAAAAACAAAAAAACUUAUCAUAUCUGUAAUAAAAUGUACAAGUACAUGUAAUCUCAUUUCCCAGUCAAAAGGAUAUUAGAUUAAUAGCAGUAAUUGUUUUGCAAACGCAAAAGAAAUGUUGGUCUUUAUCUAACAAUUUUUCCAUAUUAUUUUUUAAUAGUAGUCUAUUGCAAAUGUGGAUGGCAAUUAAAUAAUGAUUAAUUAAUAAUAAAACAAUGUAAUUCAGAUUAACAGGAUAAAUAUAUUAUUAACAAUACACGGAUAAUUAAACUCCGUAUACUUAAACAAAUGUAUUGUGCUUGUAUGUUAAUAGUGAAAUGCUUCUUUAUAUGACACACAAAAAACAUUCUCUGGAAUUUCCCAAGAAACAUUCUCUUGAAUUUCUAAUAUUAUAAUUAUUAUUAAUAUACGUGAGAUACAAUACUAAAAACGUAUAUUGUCAAUAAAUAAAUCUUUUACGAGAAUACAAUAAAAGUUCUCGUUGAAAAAUUUAAUGCUCAUCAUUAAUAUUCAGACUGUUGCAAAAUACACAAAGUAUAUCAUUAAAACAAAUUUUAAUUGUUCUAUGCUGCUUUACAUAAUAAAUACUUCAUCAAUAACUACUUGCGAGAAAUUUUUCCACAGCAAUUAUUUCUAAUGAGUGGACGGGUGCAAAUAUAGAGUAUGCCAGUUUCUUAUAAUCUUUUGACGUUGAUAUUCCAAGAUUUUUAAACAACUUUGCUAAAGUCGAUAACCCCGCGUUUGUGCGCAUAUUACAAUAAAAACAAGAGAUACUGCUCGGUAUUAGUGCUACUGUUUUAGAAAUGAACAGCACGUGCUACGCCUAUCUUUCUUGAAUAUCUUUUCUUUCGGAAUUUGUAAUUCCGUAUUGUGCAUAUAUCCACAAAUUUCCCGGCGUCGUGCAUUCUUCGCUAUGUAAUAGGCUUAAAAUACGAUGCAAAUGGAGCCAAGAGGCUCGCAGUACAUAAAGUGUAUUCUAAGCUGCACGACACUUAUAUAACCGCAGCUAAAACUUCGCGCAGAUUGCGUUGUCUCAAGCAAAAAUAUCUCAUUUUUCCCAGUAGCCUGUAGUCUUGUAUGAUAAAAAUAUACUUUGAUGUAUCGUCGUCGUUAAAUAGAUUGACAAGCGUGUAAUGUAAUUGAUAGUGCGUUAACAGAUUUCAAUCAAUCUCUUUAAUUAAGAACAAGAGUAAUAUUUAAUAAAUAACUUUACAUCUCAGUUUUAUCCAAACACUACUGACAAGAUUUAUCUAUAGGGACAAAUAUAUAGCCAAUGUUCAAUAACUUAUAACAUUUACAAGUUUGAGUAAAAAUUAGUUAAAUCACUGAAUAGAGAUCACAUGAGUUUAAAAUGUGUUAACAAAACAAUAUUGAUUAUCUUUCACAAGAGAAUGUUAGAUUUAUACUUUCAGGACUGCCAUAAAAAUUUUCAGAUAUCUACAAAAAUUGAAAAUCAGUCAUUUGUCAUUGGACGGUUUGAUGUAUGCGCGCAAGAACAUUGUUCCUAAUCAAUAUUUUUCUCGGAGACGUACUUAGCGUCACUGCAUCAACUACAAAUGCCAAUAUACACAGUGACACAUGUACACAUAGAAGCGUUAUGUACUUGAAGGAAAAAGCUGUAGUCGCGUCACGUCGCAACGUUCUCUUGUUCUCAAAGCAUCCGUUCGCCAUCGUACGCUUUUGUGCGAUGCAAGACACCGUGUAGAAAGGUCAUAAUGAUCUCAUAUCUUUAUUCAUAAACAUUUGAGCGCCCGCAGGCGUAACGAGUAACGAGAAUAAAAGUCUUGCGAAUUUCCUGAUUUCAGAUAGACAGUAUAAGAUGCCAUGUAAAAAUUAAAUUAUUUAUAAUAAACUACUUACAAAUUUACGUUCUACGAAAUUAUUGAAUUUUUUAUAAAGCUUCUAAAAGCUUUUCUCAUAUCAAAUAAUAUUUUAUCAAUUUAAUAAAAAGUAUAUUUUGAUUUUGAUUUUAAUUGUGACUCGUCAAUGAUAAAUUUAGAAAGAAACCGUCGUAGCAAAAGCUUCUACUAAGCCAUGAGCUUAUAUAAUAAGAAGCUUAAGUUAAAGCUUAAGGCUUACAUAAGUAGAAGCUUAUGUAUCACUGUAAUAUUCUUCGGUCACUGAAUAGUACUACAACUCAUAUGUGCUUGUAUAAAACAAGUCCCGGCUUUUCCAUGUUUUGAUACAUGUAGAUACAUGUAGUUCUUAAGAAAUGUAAAUUUUCAGAAUUCUUAUUAUAAAGAUAUAUAUUAUUAAUUGUAAAAAUUUUUCACACGUAAAAGACAUAAUAUAUGCAACUUCACAAUCAAUUUAAUGUAACUAUAUAAUUCCAUUCAAUCAUUAAGAUUAAGUAUAACGAAUGAACAUUAAAGCAAUUAGGUAUUCUUAUUUUAUAUAAUUGCGUCUAUAAAAAUCUUGAGACAUUACUUAAUUCAAGUUCCGACUGCGAAGGGUCCAAGAUAAGGACCAUCAAAAUACGAUGAAACUAAUUAGUGCAACAAUGUUUGAUCAUUACGAUCAAUUGAUCACGAUUACUGUUUAAUAAUUUUGUUCCAUAAAAAAAGUACAUCCGCAAACCCAA